AGGGAGGUGAGGGGAGCAGUGAGCAGCAGCGGUGGCCGCGCUCUGGAAUCCUUUUGGUGUUUUAACCCCCCAAUUCCAACCCUUGAUGCUGAGUGCCAAGCAGGGCGGACGCUCUAACCACCAAGAUGGAGACGUUUGAAGGCGGAGAAGAUUUUUUCAUCUGACGCCAAACUUGCUAAUUUCCUCCUUGAUAGGCUGAUGAUGCGGUCACGCUUGGGACGCAUGGUGAUGCGUGGGUCGUUCUCCCAAGAUGCAGACUGAACUACGGAUGCAAAGUGCAGGUAAGGAAAUGAUUUAAUGUCCAUAAAUCAGACAGGAUACAAACAAAAGCAACGCGUGCUGAAUGCACGGAGAGCAAAGCUCAAGCUUAGCAAAAGGAAAGCAAGAAUAGGAAUGUCACGACGUGGACUAUGGACGGGUUUGUUUUCCCGAGAUGCAAAAGAACUGGACCGGACAUGGCGUGAAGGUAAAGACAUGAUUUUAAUUCUAACAAAAAGGGUGAACAAAAAGCGUGCACAAGGCGGAGACACAACUUGACUAAUGAAACAAAAACUAGCACUUAGGCAGACUAUGGGCAAGAAACAAAAACACUUACUGUGACAUGAAACGAUCAGCAUGAACUAUGGUAGCAUGGGUAACAGAAGUAAAUCAUGGCAUGAAGUGAGCAGAGGUAAUGCCGCCAGAACGACCAACUGAAAAUGACUGGCUUAAAUAGUAGUGACAAGAUUAACACAGGUGCGUGAGUACAAAACGUGAAACAGGUGAAACUAAUAAGUUGUCAUGGAAACAAAACAAACAAGAGUGCACAAACCGGAACUAAAAAGAGUCCAAAAACCAAACAGAACAUAGCCAAACAAAACAUGAUCAAAAGACAUGACAAGGAAUUGAAAAGGUAACGCCAUAACUAGGGAUGAUGUUUGAUAAGAAAUUAUCGAGUUCGAGUCUAUUAUCGAAUCCUCUUAUCGAACCGAUUCCUUAUCGAUUCUCUUAUCGAGUCCAGAUAGGUUGUUGUAUAUGGAAAAAAACACACAAUAUUUGGUUUAACAAAAGCUCACUUUUAUUAUAUAAGAAAACAAUUUAAUCUAAUAAAUAAAUAAAUAUUGACUGUUACCCCCCUAAAAA